AUUGAACGCUGGCGGCAGGCCUAACACAUGCAAGUCGAACGGUAACAGGAAACAGCUUGCUGUUUCGCUGACGAGUGGCGGACGGGUGAGUAAUGUCUGGGAAACUGCCUGAUGGAGGGGGAUAACUACUGGAAACGGUAGCUAAUACCGCAUAACGUCGCAAGACCAAAGAGGGGGACCCUCGGGCCUCUUGCCAUCGGAUGUGCCCAGAUGGGAUUAGCUUGUUGGUGGGGUAACGGCUCACCAAGGCGACGAUCCCUAGCUGGUCUGAGAGGAUGACCAGCCACACUGGAACUGAGACACGGUCCAGACUCCUACGGGAGGCAGCAGUGGGGAAUAUUGCACAAUGGGCGCAAGCCUGAUGCAGCCAUGCCGCGUGUAUGAAGAAGGUCUUCGGGUUGUAAAGUACUUUCAGCGGGGAGGAAGGGAGUAAAGUUAAUACCUUUGCUCAUUGACGUUACCCGCAGAAGAAGCACCGGCUAACUCCGUG
rnacentral:rRNA from 1 species